UUUGGUGUGUUAAUUAAUUAUUUAGUGGAUAUGAGAUAUAAGGAAUAAUAGAAUUAAUUAAUUUUGUGUGUAUAUUGUGUUGGUUUAAAUUAUUUUGAAUUAAAUAGAGAUAUUUAAAUAUUAGGUCUUAUUGGGCCUAUUAAUUAAAUUAGAGAUAUUAUGCUUUAAGCUCAAAUAGAAUACUAGUAUAUAAAAGGGAGGAGAGUGAGAAUUAGGAUUCAUUUGAUCAUUGAAGGCAAUAGAGAAAGAGGAGAGGGAAA
rnacentral:lncRNA from 1 species